UACGUAGGGGGCAAGCGUUGUCCGGAAUUACUGGGCGUAAAGCGCGCGUAGGCGGCUUUGUAAGUCAGAGGUGAAAUCCCGGGGCUCAACUCCGGAACUGCCUUUGAAACUGCAUCGCUUGAAUCCGGGAGAGGUGAGUGGAAUUCCGAGUGUAGAGGUGAAAUUCGUAGAUAUUCGGAAGAACACCAGUGGCGAAGGCGGCUCACUGGACCGGCAUUGACGCUGAGGUGCGAAAGCGUGGGGAGCAAACAGG
rnacentral:rRNA from 1 species